GCCCCGGUAAACGGCGGCCGUAACUAUAACGGUCCUAAGGUAGCGAAAUUCCUUGUCGGGUAAGUUCCGACCUGCACGAAUGGCGUAAUGAUGGCCAGGCUGUCUCCACCCGAGACUCAGUGAAAUUGAACUCGCUGUGAAGAUGCAGUGUACCCGCGGCAAGACGGAAAGACCCCGUGAACCUUUACUAUAGCUUGACACUGAACAUUGAGCCUUGAUGUGUAGGAUAGGUGGGAGGCUUUGAAGUGUGGACGCCAGUCUGCAUGGAGCCGGCCUUGAAAUACCACCCUUUAAUGUUUGAUGUUCUAACGUUGGCCCGUAAUCCGGGUUGCGGACAGUGUCUGGUGGGUAGUUUGACUGGGGCGGUCUCCUCCUAAAGAGUAACGGAGGAGCACGAAGGUUGGCUAAUCCUGGUCGGACAUCAGGAGGUUAGUGCAAUGGCAUAAGCCAGCUUGACUGCGAGCGUGACGGCGCGAGCAGGUGCGAAAGCAGGUCAUAGUGAUCCGGUGGUUCUGAAUGGAAGGGCCAUCGCUCAACGGAUAAAAGGUACUCCGGGGAUAACAGGCUGAUACCGCCCAAGAGUUCAUAUCGACGGCGGUGUUUGGCACCUCGAUGUCGGCUCAUCACAUCCUGGGGCUGAAGUAGGUCCCAAGGGUAUGGCUGUUCGCCAUUUAAAGUGGUACGCGAGCUGGGUUUAGAACGUCGUGAGACAGUUCGGUCCCUAUCUGCCGUGGGCGCUGGAGAACUGAGGGGGGCUGCUCCUAGUACGAGAGGACCGGAGUGGACGCAUCACUGGUGUUCGGGUUGUCAUGCCAAUGGCACUGCCCGGUAGCUAAAUGCGGAAGAGAUAAGUGCUGAAAGCAUCUAAGCACGAAACUUGCCCCGAGAUGAGUUCUCCCUGACUCCUUGAGGGUCCUGAAGGAACGUUGAAGACGACGACGUUGAUAGGCCGGGUGUGUAAGCGCAGCGAUGCGUUGAGCUAACCGGUACUAAUGAACCGUGAGGCUUAACCUU
rnacentral:rRNA from 1 species